GAUGAACGCUGGCGGCGUGCUUAACACAUGCAAGUCGAACGAAGCACUUUUGAUUCUUCGGAAAAGAAAGUGACUGAGUGGCGGACGGGUGAGUAACGCGUGGGUAACCUGCCUUAUACAGGGGGAUAACAGUUGGAAACGACCGCUAAUACCGCAUAAGCCGACAGGGCCGCAUGGCCUGGUUGGAAAAGAUUUAUCGGUAUAAGAUGGACCCGAGUCUGAUGAGCUAGUUGGUGAGGUAAUGGCUCACCAAGGCGACGAUCAGUAGCCGGCUUGAGAGAGUGAACGGCCACAUUGGGACUGAGACACGGCCCAAACUCCUACGGGAGGCAGCAGUGGGGAAUAUUGCACAAUGGGGGAAACCCUGAUGCAGCAACGCCGCGUGAAGGAAGAAGUAUUUCGGUAUGUAAACUUCUAUCAGCAGGAAAGAAAAUGACGGUACCUGACUAAGAAGCCCCGGCUAACUACGUGCCAGCCGCCGCGGUAA
rnacentral:rRNA from 1 species